GAUGAACGCUGGCGGCGUGCCUAACACAUGCAAGUCGAACGAUGAAACCGCCCUCGGGCGGACAUGAAGUGGCGAACGGGUGAGUAACACGUGACCAACCUGCCCCUUGCUCCGGGACAACCUUGGGAAACCGAGGCUAAUACCGGAUACUCCUCGCCCCCCUCCUGGGGGGCCCGGGAAAGCCCAGACGGCAAGGGAUGGGGUCGCGGCCCAUUAGGUAGUAGGCGGGGUAACGGCCCACCUAGCCCGCGAUGGGUAGCCGGGUUGAGAGACCGACCGGCCACAUUGGGACUGAGAUACGGCCCAGACUCCUACGGGAGGCAGCAGUGGGGAAUUUUGCGCAAUGGGGGAAACCCUGACGCCGCAACGCCGCGUGCGGGACGACGGCCUUCGGGUUGUAAACCGCUUUCAGCAGGGAAGAAAUUCGACGGUAC
rnacentral:rRNA from 1 species